rnacentral:tRNA from 1 species
GGAUUGUGGCUCAGUGGUAGAGCUCUCAUCUAGCAUGUGUGAGGCCCUGGGUUCGAUCCUCAGCACCA